rnacentral:rRNA from 1 species
CCUACGGGAGGCAGCAGUGGGGAAUAUUGCACAAUGGGGGAAACCCUGAUGCAGCGACGUCGCGUGAGUGAUGAAGUAUUUCGGUAUGUAAAGCUCUAUCAGCAGGGACGAAAAUGACGGUACCUGACUACGAAGCCCCGGCUAACUACGUGCCAGCAGCCGCGGUAAUACGUAGGGGGCAAGCGUUAUCCGGAUUUACUGGGUGUAAGGGGAGCGUAGACGGCGGUGCAAGCCAGAUGUGAAAGCCCGGGGCUCAACCCCGGGACUGCUCUGGAAACUGUAAAGCUGGAGUGCAGGAGAGGUAAGCGGAAUUCCUAGUGUAGCGGUGAAAUGCGUAGAUAUUAGGAGGAACACCAGUGGCGAAGGCGGCUUACUGGACUGCAACUGACGUUGAGGCUCGAAAGCGUGGGGAGCAAACAGGAUUAGAUACCCGAGUAGUC